UACGUAGGGGGCAAGCGUUAUCCGGAUUUACUGGGUGUAAAGGGGGCGCAGACGGCGAUGCAAGCCAGGAGUGAAAGCCCGGGGCCCAACCCCGGGACUGCUCUUGAAACUGUGUUUCUUGAGUGCUGGAGAGGCAAUCGGAAUUCCGUGUGUAGCGGUGAAAUGCGUAGAUAUACGGAGGAACACCAGUGGCGAAGGCGGAUUGCUGGACAGUAACUGACGCUGAGGCGCGAAAGCGUGGGGAGCAAACAGG
rnacentral:rRNA from 1 species